CGGUACACANAGGGAAGCGAGAGGGAGACCUGGAGCGAACCCCAAAAAGGAACGUCCCAGUUCGGACUGUGGUCUGCAACCCGACCACACGAAGCUGGAAUCGCUAGUAAUCGCGGAUCAGAAUGCCGCGGUGAAUACGUUCCCGGGUCUUGUACACACCGCCCGUCACACCAUGGGAGUCAGCAACGCCCGAAGUCAGUGACCCAACCUUUAAGGAGGGAGCUGCCGAAGGCGGGGCAGGUGACUGGGGUGAAGUCGUAACAAGGUACC
rnacentral:rRNA from 1 species